UCGAAAGCUUUGCAGUAAUAAAUUUACGUGGUGUUUCCACAAACAAAAACAAUUAACUAUGUAAUAAGUACUGUGCCGGGAAUGGAACCUGUUGCCCUGUGAUUCUGAACAGUUCCUGAACAGCUGAGAGUCCAUCAAGCCCUGAGAGUCCAAGCGCCAAGAAUCCAUCAAGCUAACCAAGAGUUCAUUUAUACAAUACUAUAGUGUCAUCCCAGUUUAUUUAAUAUACUACAAUGCAGUAACACCACCAUCAUGGUAUGAUUAUACAGAAAGUUAUGGUUACAUCUUGGCAAAAGGACUCUUUAAGUCAGAGGGCUGCAGUAGAAUUGCAGGGCUGCAGGUUCAAUUCAUGCUGGCAGGCUUUUAAUUGUAUUAAAACUGUCUGUACCAGUACCAGUGUGGGUGGUACCAAUGUGAAAUUGCUAUGCUGAGUGGUUAUAUUACUACCUGAAAACAAACAAACAAACAGAAACUCAAUGUUUUGAGCAAAGACCCUUCACUCGAAAUGUUGAGUUUCUGCUUGUUUUUUUUUUCAGGUAGCAAUAUAACCACUCAACACAGCAAUUGUAAUUGUAUUCCUUUGCAAUUGCUCUCACAAAGUUCUAAGGUACCGAUAGCUCUAGUUUAUUUAAUUGUCUUAUUAUAUUGUAUUGAUAUAUUUUUUAUCAAAUUCCAUGUAUACAUGUUCAGUGAUGUAAGACUCACAAAUUUUCUUCAUUUUAAUGCAGUGUAUAGGUUGUGACAUUAAAUUGGUCGAAAUGACAAAAAAAAUUGGUCGAAAUGAUCCAAAAAAAUUGGUCACCUGUAUGCAUCUGAGAGAACCAAUUAAAAAUGGUUGUUUUAACCAAUAAAAUAAACCAUAAUAUUAGAUGCAUCCAGGUGACCAAUUUUUUUUUGUCAUUUCGACCAAUCAGUUUUUACAGUGUAUAUCAAUGACUGCACAACCCAAUACUUUCAUACACCUUAUUACAAUACACCUAAUCGCUGCACUGAAUAAUGCGGUUAUAUUAAUUAUACUAUAGUAGAAAAUAUAUUUUAAAAUACAAUUUUGAUCAGACUUUACUUAUUUAUAGGUAAUCUAUUUUAGAAUAAUUAUUCAUUAUAUUUUUAAAAAUCAAAAUUGUUGUAAAGAUAAAAUAGUCUAGCCUUAUUAUGUAAUUACGUAUAAGCGUAACAUGCACUUGAUGUAAGCGCAUUUGAUUAUAUAUAUACACUGUAAAUUUCAGGGAGUUAAUUUAACUCCAGUGGUAUUAUUCUGAAUCUAAUUUUACUCCAAAUUUGGAGUUAAUUGAGGUACAG